UGGCCAGACUCCUACGGGGGCAGCAGUGAGGAAUAUUGGUCAAUGGCCGAGAGGCUGAACCAGCCAAGUCGCGUGAGGGAAGACGGCCCCACGGGUUGUAAACCUCUUUUGUCGGGGAGCAAAGCGAGUCACGUGUGACUCAUUGAGAGUACCCGAAGAAAAAGCAUCGGCUAACUCCGUGCCAGCAGCCGCGGUAAUACGGAGGGGGCAAGCGUUAUCCGGAAUUACUGGGUGUAAAGGGAGCGUAGACGGUUAAGUAAGUCUGGAGUGAAAGGCCGGGGCCCAACCCCGGGACUGCUCUGGAAACUAUUGAACUUGAGUGCAGGAGAGGUAAGCGGAAUUCCUAGUGUAGCGGUGAAAUGCGUAGAUAUUAGGAGGAACACCAGUGGCGAAGGCGGCUUACUGGACUGUAACUGACGUUGAGGCUCGAAAGCGUGGGGAGCAAACAGGAUUAGAUACCCCAGUAA
rnacentral:rRNA from 1 species